GAUGCAGCGCGGUUCCUGCUGCUGUGGGGUGGAAACACACAGAGAGAGGAGAGAAAUUGAAGAUAAAGGUGAGAAAAAGCCAAUUCCGGUUUGUACCUAAAAUCGAGGGAAAGCGAUGUAUCUACCAAGCCAGCAUAAAAACACUUAAGGACAAGAUUGAAGGCUUUCCGAGAGAUCUGGACAGAAGUCAAAGCUAUCACUGGGAGGCUUGUUCCAAAUACCAAGAGAGAAAGAGAGAAGAAUAGAAGCGCACAGAUGCCCCGACGAAGGGAGAACAGCUCUGCUCCCAUUGUUGUGGAGUUAAACAGUGGAAGGGAGGGUUAACCUAAUCCAUCAAAUUGUCUGGAAAUUGUGAAGAAAAUUCAAAAACCAUAUGGUCUCCAAGCGCUCGCCUUCUCUCUGCUGCGGAGGGGCACGCUUGUUUCAGCAUGGCGAACCGCAGGAGGCUGUAUAUGCUCCAUUGUCGCUUGUCACUUCAGAGAAGAGGGCUCAUUUGUCCCCAGUUUUCAUGCUUUACGCUAAAAAUUACAACCCCAUCCAUUCUCAAAGAGGAGAAAGAUUUAUUUAGCCUCGGAGAAACUGGACCAAAAAAAAAAGAAAAAAAGGAAAAAUCCAACCCACAACCCAAGCCUGUCUUAUCCGGACACUUCUCGCCCGAGCUCUGCCACUGUACACCAGAUUUGUCUUUCUCACAUAAAUUUUUUGCAAAGAAUAGGGAGAAACACACGUUGCUCGGCUCCAAGGGCAGGUCACGCUGCCAGGGGAAAACACAUGCACCAGAGCCGUGAUUUUGGAGAAAAGGAAAAAAAAAAGGAGAGACGAGAGAAAAAAGAGGGGAGAAAAUAUAAAAGGAACGGGAGGAAAUGAAGCAUUUUCAACCCUUCUGUCCUCGGAGCGGCAGUUUUGGCCCAGAACGGGAGGUCCGCCCCCCGUGCUCCUCACCGCUCCUUUUGUGCAGAAGGAUGGUAACUCCUUCCCCUCGUUCGCAUUUGGGUUUUCUUUAUUUAUCCCCACACCACCACUUUUCCCUUUCUAAUUCCGGGCUGGAAAUACCCUGCUGGAGGCGGGAGCUGCGGGGAGGGCCGAUGACCCCGGUAGCCCAGGUACCCCCGCCGCGGUCCCGC